rnacentral:misc_RNA from 1 species
GAUGAAGAACGUAGCGAAAUGCGAUAAGUAAUGUGAAUUGCAGAAUUCAGUGAAUCAUCGAAUCUUUGAACGCACAUUGCGCCCCUUGGUAUUCCGGGGGGCAUGCCUGUUCGAGCGUCAUUUCAACCCUCAAGCUCUGCUUGGUAUUGGGCACCGUCCUUUGCGGGCGCGCCUCAAAGACCUCGGCGGUGGCGUCUUGCCUCAAGCGUAGUAGAAUACACCUCGCUUCGGAGCGUAAGGCGUCGCCCGCCGGACGAACCUUCUGAACUUUUCUCAAGGUUGACCUCGGAUCAGGUAGGGAUACCCGCUGAACUUAAGCAUAUCAAAAGCGGAGGA